CGCGUGAGUAACCUGCCUUACACAAGGGGAUAGCCUCUGGAAACGGAGAAUAAUACCCUAUGAAACCAGACAAUCGCAUGAUAAUCUGGUCAAAAUGCUUAGUGGUGUAAGAUGGACUUGCGUCUGAUUAGCUAGUUGGUGAGAUAAAAGCUCACCAAGGCAACGAUCAGUAGCCGGCCUGAGAGGGUGACCGGCCACACUGGGACUGAGACACGGCCCAG
rnacentral:rRNA from 1 species